rnacentral:rRNA from 1 species
UGUAAAUGUAAAUUUUUAAACCAGGGUAGUAAUAGUUAAGUUCUUGAAACCCAAAGAAUUUGGCGGUAUUUUAGUCCUUUCAGAGGAAUCUGUCCCGUAAUCGACAACCCACGAGAUAAUUUACUUAUUCUUGUAUUUCAGUUUGUAUACCUCCGUCAUAAGAAGAUCUUUUUAGAGAUUUAAUUUUCUUAAUAUACUAAAUAUAGGAUGUCAGGUCAAGGUGCAAUUUAUGAAUAAGUGGAGAUGGAUUACAAUAAAAUUAUUUAAAUGGAUUAAAUUGAUUAAUUUUUUAUGAAGGUGGAUUUGAUAGUAAUUUUAAUUAUUUGUUAUUAUGAUUUUGGCUCUAAAAUAUGC